rnacentral:pre_miRNA from 1 species
GGCCGGGGAGGAGGAAGCAGACGGAAAGCUGGAGAGAGAUUUCCCCCACUCCUCUCCAGCGUUCUGUCUGCUUCCUCCUCCCUGGCCU